UGGGGAAUUUUGGACAAUGGGCGAAAGCCUGAUCCAGCAAUGCCGCGUGUGUGAAGAAGGCCUUCGGGUUGUAGAGCACUUUUGUCCGGAAAGAAAUCCUUGGCUCUAAUACAGUCGGGGGAUGACGGUACCGGAAGAAUAAGCACCGGCUAACUACGUGCCAGCAGCCGCGGUAAUACGUAGGGUGCAAGCGUUAAUCGGAAUUACUGGGCGUAAAGCGUGCGCAGGCGGUUUGCUAAGACCGAUGUGAAAUCCCCGGGCUCAACCUGGGAACUGCAUUGGUGACUGGCAGGCUAGAGUAUGGCAGAGGGGGGUAGAAUUCCACGUGUAGCAGUGAAAUGCGUAGAGAUGUGGAGGAAUACCGAUGGCGAAGGCAGCCCCCUGGGCCAAUACUGACGCUCAUGCACGAAAGCGUGGGGAGCAAACAGGAUUAGAUACCCUGGUAGUCCACGCCCUAAACGAUGUCAACUAGUUGUUGGGGAUUCAUUUCCUUAGUAACGUAGCUAACGCGUGAAGUUGACCGCCUGGGGAGUACGGUCGCAAGAUUAAAACUUAAAUGAAUUGACGGGGU
rnacentral:rRNA from 1 species